AGACCCGAAACCCGGUGAUCUAGCCAUGGGCAGGUUGAAGGUUGGGUAACACUAACUGGAGGACCGAACCGACUAAUGUUGAAAAAUUAGCGGAUGACUUGUGGCUGGGGGUGAAAGGCCAAUCAAACCGGGAGAUAGCUGGUUCUCCCCGAAAGCUAUUUAGGUAGCGCCUCGUGAAUUCAUCUCCGGGGGUAGAGCACUGUUUCGGCAAGGGGGUCAUCCCGACUUACCAACCCGAUGCAAACUGCGAAUACCGGAGAAUGUUAUCACGGGAGACACACGGCGGGUGCUAACGUCCGUCGUGAAGAGGGAAACAACCCAGACCGCCAGCUAAGGUCCCAAAGUCAUGGUUAAGUGGGAAACGAUGUGGGAAGGCCCAGACAGCCAGGAUGUUGGCUUAGAAGCAGCCAUCAUUUAAAGAAAGCGUAAUAGCUCACUGGUCGAGUCGGCCUGCGCGGAAGAUGUAACGGGGCUAAACCAUGCACCGAAGCUGCGGCAGCGACACUGUGUGUUGUUGGGUAGGGGAGCGUUCUGUAAGCCUGUGAAGGUG
rnacentral:rRNA from 1 species